GUACGGGAGGCAGCAGUGGGGAAUAUUGCGCAAUGGGGGAAACCCUGACGCAGCGACGCCGCGUGAGCGAUGAAGGCUUUCGGGUUGUAAAGCUCUGUUCUAAGGGACGAAGUCCCUACUUGUAAAUAAUGAGUAGGGUUGACGGUACCUUAGGAGAAAGCCCCGGCUAACUACGUGCCAGCAGCCGCGGUAAUACGUAGGGGGCGAGCGUUGUCCGGAAUUACUGGGCGUAAAGAGCGUGUAGGCGGGUGCUUAAGUCAGGUGUGAAAGACCGGGGCUCAACUCCGGGAUUGCACUUGAAACUGGGUAUCUUGAGGGCAGGAGAGGAAAGCGGAAUUCCUGGUGUAGCGGUGAAAUGCGUAGAUAUCAGGAGGAACACCGGUGGCGAAGGCGGCUUUCUGGACUGACCCUGACGCUGAGACGCGAAAGCGUGGGGAGCAAACAGGAUUAGAUACCCUGGUAGU
rnacentral:rRNA from 1 species